UUCAACAGUUUCUGAAUGAGAGCACUGCCUUGGACCCUCGGUUCAAAUCUUUACCUCAUCUGGAUGACCAACAACAAUCAACAAUCUGGCUGAGAAAAUCCUACAAAGGCAUCCCACACAGGACCCAGGACAAGGGACCAGCCAAAACCCCCCAGAGGACCCAGAAACUGCAGCAUCCAGUGAAGGCAGCCCCCCAGCAAAGAGAACCACACUCAGUGAACUGUUUGGUGACUUUUAUAGCACAGCCCCCACUACACCAACAACACCAAAAUUAUGGCCUGAUGUUGUCAAGGAGGAGAUUGAGCUAUACAGGAUGGCAAAAGUAAUUUCUGUGGAUGCAAAUCCACUGAAAUGGUGGAAAAACAAUGAGCAUCAGUAUCCAAAUUUGUCCAAGCUUUCCAAACAUUAUCUUGCUGUGCAAGCAACAAGUGUAGCAAGUGAGCGGAUAUUGUGACUGCUCAAAGAGCAGCCCUUUCUCCAGACAAUGUGGACAUUCUCAUCUUUUUAAAGAAAAACUUAAAAAUAUAAAACUAACAGUUGUUUUGUCCAGCCUCAAAUAUGUAAAUAGUUUUGGUACCUCAAGGAGCACCUUUCUCUCCAGAUAAAGGUAAUAAUAUAUCUUUGUUUUAAAAAAGACUUGACAGAAGAAUGUGAAAAAAAAGACAGUUGUCAUUCUCAGGGACCGAAAAAGUCUUAUUUUUUUAUGUUCAACUGUUAUUAGGAUAGAGUUUAGUUUGUUAAUCUUCUAAUUGUUCUAUUAUUUUGAACAUGACUGUUCCUGUUUUUUUUUUGUAAUAUUUAUUUUAUGUUGCACAUUGUUGUUUUAAUGCAAACAGUUGCUACCAAAAAAAGCCACUAGAUGGCAGCCAGUACCCUCUGUGACCCCUCAUGUUUAUUAUUAUUUGUUUGUUUUUGUUAUUUUGUACUUGACUGAGAACAAGAUUGUUACAUUUAUAUCUUAAUUAAAUUAUUUAAAUUUGA